rnacentral:lncRNA from 1 species
UGGAAAAGAAUGUUCGGACAGAUUUGCCCCUAUCUCCAUCCGCUAGUUGAAGUAGCGGAAUAAUUCUUCUCAGCAGAUCUUCGUAGCAAAUAAGUUCAGCAGACCAGAUCUUUCAUCCCAAAUAGCAAAUAACAUGCAGAUCUUCAUCCCAAAUAGGGAAUAACGCAACAGAUCUUCAACCCAAAUACCAAAUAACAUCCCAAAUAGAAAUCGCAGCAGUCGCAGCAGAUCUUCGUAGCAAAUAAGUUCAACAUAUCUUCAUCCCAAAUAGCGAAUAACAUGCUAUUUCUGACGCGAAAUCGCAGCAGAUCUUCAACCCAAAUACCGAAUAACAUCCCAAAUAGCGAAUAACAUGCUAUAUAUUUUGAUUAUGUAAUGACAAAAUGUUUAUAUAUUUUGAUUUAUUAGCAUGAUUUAUUAUUCCCCAUGAGUUACAAGAGAUUAAGAUUUGAUGCAAAUUGUUUUGCUAUGAAUUUUGAUCCAACUUGUUAUAGGACUGAUUUGGUUUGAUCUGGGAUUUUGAUCCAGUCUUGAGCCGAUGUUACCCUCUCUUUUUUCUUUGUAUCUGUUUUUUUUAUAUUAAUUUCCCCACCCCCUGUUUUUCAUGAACAUAUAAUGUUGCUCCAGAACCAGAUGAGGUCUCCUGUAUAAUUUUGACUAUAUGCAGUGACUCUAUUCAGUUUGUUCUUAUAUUCAGUUUAGUGAUUAUCAGUUUGUUCUUAUAUUCAG